AUACUUGAGUAGAGGGUCAAUCCAGCAGGACUCUUCAUCAAUUUGUUGAAUAGUGAGGGGCUCCUCAAGGCUCGAGGUUUUUAGUACUUCAAAAUAAGUCCCCUCCUCCCAAUCGGUAGGAAGCAAGGUAGCCAGCUUUGAUAGCGCAUCUACCUUAGUGUUGUACAUUUUGGAGACCUGCUGAAUGUGAAAGCUCAAAAAAGUUGAGGUUAAGUCAUUUACUUUAUGGAGAUAUCUUUUCAUAUUCUCCUCUUGGGCCUCAUAGCUACCCUUGAUAUGGCCAACC
rnacentral:lncRNA from 1 species